rnacentral:rRNA from 1 species
CAGCAGCCGCGGUAAUACGUAGGUGGCAAGCGUUGUCCGGAAUUAUUGGGCGUAAAGCGCGCGCAGGCGGAUAGGUCAGUCUGUCUUAAAAGUUCGGGGCUCAACCCCGUGAUGGGAUGGAAACUGCUGAUCUAGAGUAUCGGAGAGGAAAGUGGAAUUCCUAGUGUAGCGGUGAAAUGCGUAGAGAUUAGGAGGAACACCAGUGGCGAAGGCGGCUUUUUGGCCUGUAACUGACACUGAGGCGCGAAAGCGUGGGGAGCAAACAGGAUUAGAUACCCCCGUAGUCCCUGUCUCUUAUACC